rnacentral:rRNA from 1 species
GAUGAACGCUGGCGGCGUGCCUAAUACAUGCAAGUCGAGCGAACAGACGAGGAGCUUGCUCCUCUGACGUUAGCGGCGGACGGGUGAGUAACACGUGGAUAACCUACCUAUAAGACUGGGAUAACUUCGGGAAACCGGAGCUAAUACCGGAUAAUAUAUUGAACCGCAUGGUUCAAUAGUGAAAGACGGUUUUGCUGUCACUUAUAGAUGGAUCCGCGCCGCAUUAGCUAGUUGGUAAGGUAACGGCUUACCAAGGCAACGAUGCGUAGCCGACCUGAGAGGGUGAUCGGCCACACUGAAACUGAGACACGGUCCAGACUCCUACGGGAGGCAGCAGUAGGGAAUCUUCCGCGAUGGGCGAAAGCCUGACGGAGCAACGCCGCGUGAGUGAUGAAGGUCUUCGGAUCGUAAAACUCUGUUAUUAGGGAAGAACAAAUGUGUAAGUAACUAUGCACGUCUUGACGGUACCUAAUCAGAAAGCCACGGCUAACUACG